rnacentral:rRNA from 1 species
GACGAACGCUGGCGGCGUGCUUAACACAUGCAAGUCGUACGGUAAGGCCCUUUCGGGGGUCCACGAGUGGCGAACGGGUGAGUAACACGUGAGUAACCUGCCCACAACUUUGGGAUAACGCUAGGAAACUGGUGCUAAUACUGGAUAUGUGCCCCUGCUGCAUGGUGGGGGUUGGAAAGCUCCGGCGGUUGUGGAUGGACUCGCGGCCUAUCAGCUUGUUGGUGGGGUAGUGGCCUACCAAGGCGGCGACGGGUAGCCGGCCUGAGAGGGUGACCGGCCACAUUGGGACUGAGAUACGGCCCAGACUCCUACGGGAGGCAGCAGUGGGGAAUAUUGCACAAGGGGCGCAAGCCUGAUGCAGCAACGCCGCGGGCGGGAUGACGGCCUUCGGGUUGGAAACCGCUUUCAGCAGGGACGAAGCUUUUUGUGACGGUACCUGCAGAAGAAGCACCGGCUAACUACGUG